GACGAACGCUGGCGGCGUGCCUAAUACAUGCAAGUAGAACGCAGUUGCGAACGGGUGAGUAAUACGUGAGUAACCUGCCCUCCUUUUUGGGAUAAGCCUUUGAAACGGGGUCUAAUACCGGAUAAAGGGGGAUGGGCUCGCGGCCUAUCAGCUUGUUGGUGGGGUGAUGGCCUACCAAGGCGGUGACGGGUAGCCGGCCCGAGAGGGUGGCCGGCCACAUUGGGACUGAGAUACGGCCCAGACUCCUACGGGAGGCAGCAGUGGGGGAUAUGGCACAAUGGACGGAAGUCUGACCGAGCAACGCCGCGGGAGUGAAGAAGGGUUUCGGAUCGGAAAGCUCUGUUGUUAGAGAAGCGUUAACUAACCAGAAAGGGACGGCUAACUACGUGCCAGCAGCCGCGGUAAUAC
rnacentral:rRNA from 1 species